rnacentral:rRNA from 1 species
AUUGAACGCUGGCGGCAGGCCUAACACAUGCAAGUCGAACGAGUGGCGGACGGGAGAGUCGCGUCUGUGAACCUGCCUUAUGUCGGGGAAUACCUACUGGAACCGGUAGCUAAUACCGCUUACCCUCACAUUUGCCCAUCUGGGAUUGGCUAGUAGGUUGGGUAAUGGCUCACCUAGGCGACGAUCCCUAGCUGGUCUGAGAGGAUGACCAGCCACACUGGAACUGAGACACGGUCCAGACUCCUACGGGAGGCAGCAGUGGGGAAUAUUGCACAAUGGGCGAAAGCCUGAUGCAGCCAUGCCGCGUGUGUGAAGAAGGCCUUCGGGUUGUAAAGCACUUUCAGCGGGGAGGCGUUACCCGCAGAGGAAGCAACGGCUAACUACGUGCCAGCAGCCGCGGUAAUAC